CCUUCCUAUAAUUUGCCUGUAAUUAUAUAUACUGAUAAAAAAAUUGCUUAUAUUUGAAAGUACAGCAAAAGACUUUAAUAAUGAGGAAAAAACGAAUAUUCAUCAGUGAAUUUAUUGCUCCGCUAGUAUUGUUCAACACCGCUGAGCUACAAGACCCGUGGGUGAACAGCACUCUAUGUUGAGUUACAUACCAAUUAAUGAUAAAGCUAUGCGUUAUUUAAAAGACUUUGUUGACCAGCAAGUACAGUGUAACCUCGAUAUAAUGGACUUCUCUCUCCAGAUAAUCCAUUAGACUGAGGUUUCAUAUCCAACGGAACCUCGAUAUAAUGGACUUUCAUCUCUAUGUAGUUCGUUAAAUGGAGGUUUCACUGUAUAAUAAUGUACUGUAUGACAUUUAAUUUAUUGUGUAGAUUGUGUUUCUAAUGUGUGUGUGUGAGGAAGGUUUGUUGCAUUCCCACUGAGUUGAGUUGGAGAUACUAUCGACGUGGGAGCCAGUGAACCGCAUAAGGGACCCAACUGCGUGUCUCAAUAAGGCUCGUUUUCCACCUUUACACUACGGAAAAUAAGCUCUAUUGAAGGUCUGUUGUUUAAGCGUUUAUAUUUAUUUCCCUGCUCGUUUAGUACCAGCUUACAAAAUCGUGUUACUUUAGCGACACAGUUUUUUUAAUGUACAGAAAAAUUCAGCUUAAAGUUACCAAGUAAAGGUCUGACUCACUUAGUAUAUACUGCACAGAUUACACAGACCUUUCUGCUAACUUAGUUUACAAAGCGUUUUAAUAUGUUGUUGUUUUCGCAUCUGUAAACAUUUGUGUCAACUUGUAAAUUUGCUAUUGAUCAUUCAACACACACACUCACCCGGGCGCUGAUUAAGAUGAGAUACCUUUUUCUGAUGGGUUAUGGCAUCCUGAUUCCCACACUGUCUGUCUGUCUGUCUGUCUGUCUGUCUGUAUUUCACGGACGAAUUUAUAAACAACUUUCGUAAUUUCAUCCGUGAAGAAUAACUUUAACUGUAGCCAUUUUUAUGUGAAGAAUAAUUUACAUUGAUAAUUUAUGUAUUGUGGAUAACUCUUAUUUAUUUUUUUACUUGGAAUUCGUAUUUAUUUGAUAAUUAUUUGGGUAUUUUGUAUUUUACGAGGAAUUUUAACUUUUUGGGAGUUUUCAUGUUCAAUAAUUUUUAUUCGUAAUUAAUAUAUGGAGGAAAAGUUUCUGCCUGUGAAGAUGUCUAAAUUUACAGUGAGACCUCGAUAUAAUGAACUUUCAUCUCUAUACAGUUCAUUAAAUAGGGGUUUCACAUCUAAUGAACCCUCGAUAUUAUGGAUUUUCCAUUAUAUCGAGGGUACGUUAGAUGUGAAACCCAAGUCUAAUGGAUUACAUGGGGAGAUAAGUCAUUAUAUCGAGGUUACACUAUACUGUAGAUAUGUCUCCCAGAGCAUCUCAGUCGUGAUGUAAACAAAAUCUCAGUUGCGUAGAUUCUCCCCUGAUACUACAAGUUUACAGAAGAGCAGUUUUGAAAUAAUUUGUUUUAAUAAUAUUGAAUCAUUAAAAAACCCUUCCCUAGUUGGUUUUAAUAACACUUAAUCAUUAAAACCCUUCCCUAGUUGGUUUUAAUAACACUUAAUCAUUAAAAAACCCUUCCCUAGUUGGUUUUAAUAACACUUAAUCAUUAAAAAACCCUCCCUAGUUGGUUUUAAUAAUAUUGAAUCAUUAAAACCCUUCCCUAGUUGGUUUUAAUAACAAUCAUUAAAACCCUUCAUUAGUUAAACCAGCGUAAUAUAUUUAUGGGUAUUAUUAAUUUUUUAUAAGAGUGUCAUUAUCAUUUUACCAAUAAGCCUUACAUGUUUGUUUUCAUUCUCUCGUGACAUGAUAAUCGCCUCGUUGUUAACCUUUACAUGUGAUAAUUCCUUUAAUUAUACAGAAUGAGUUAUACCCAGAAAAUUAUACGAUUGUGGGGAGUCUGUGGACCAGUGAUGUGAUUUAUAGCCAAGGAAUAAUUACUGGAGACUGUUGAUAUAAUUUAUAGCCAAGGAAUUAUUACUAGAGACUGUUGAUAUAAUUUAUA